GUGAUGAGGAUGGAAUGUGAAGCAGCAGCCUCACGUGUACACCCAAAUGAACAGACUCGCUGGCAGCCAGCACCUGGGCUGCGUGAGCUCUUUCCAGCUCUCCUUCAACCUCAAAUGGACACCAGGAAUGUUCAAUAUCCUGUCAACAGUUUCAAGGAGAUGAGACCCUCCACCACCACCACCACCACCACCACAUGGACCUGAUGGCUCACUGAAACACA